rnacentral:pre_miRNA from 1 species
AAUAAGAUUAUUUUUCAGUUUUUUAUAUAAUGUUUUAACUAUUCAUCUUAUUUAAAUUUUUUUUGAAUAAUAUUUUUAUUCUUACUAGAUGAUAAAACAUGAAUAAUACUUUAUGGGUGAAUAAUUUUUCUAAGUUUUUGUAUAAUUUUUUUCAAAUAAGACGAACGGUUAAACGUUAGACACAGAAAA